CUUUUAAAGGGUAGCAGUCAUCCACUGGCUUUAGGCGCC
rnacentral:tRNA from 1 species